rnacentral:rRNA from 1 species
CCUACGGGUGGCAGCAGUGAGGAAUAUUGGUCAAUGGCCGGAAGGCUGAACCAGCCAAGCCGCGUGAGGGAGGAAGGCGCAGAGCGUCGCAGACCUCUUUUGCCGGGGGACAAAAGGCCGGACUCGUCCGGUCCUGAGGGUACCCGGAGAAAAAGCAUCGGCUAACUCCGUGCCAGCAGCCGCGGUAAUACGGAGGAUGCGAGCGUUAUCCGGAUUUAUUGGGUUUAAAGGGUGCGCAGGCGGGAGAUCAAGUCAGCGGUAAAAUGUCGGGGCUCAACCCCGGCCGGCCGUUGAAACUGGUUUUCUAGAGUUGGAGAGAAGUAUGCGGAAUUCGUGGUGUAGCGGUGAAAUGCAUAGAUAUCACGAAGAACUCCGAUUGCGAAGGCAGCAUACCGGCUCCAUACUGACGCUGAGGCACGAAAGCGUGGGGAUCGAACAGGAUUAGAUACCCUUGUAGUC